rnacentral:misc_RNA from 1 species
AUGCGCCCAGAUAGGGUGUUAAGUCAAGUAGUUUAAGGUACUACUCUGUAAGAUAACACAGAAAACAGCCAACCUAACCGAAAAGCGAAAGCUGAUACGGGAACAGAGCACGGUUGGAAAGCGAUGAGUUACCUAAAGACAAUCGGGUACGACUGAGUCGCAAUGUUAAUCAGAUAUAAGGUAUAAGUUGUGUUUACUGAACGCAAGUUUCUAAUUUCGGUUAUGUGUCGAUAGAGGAAAGUGUCUGAAACCUCUAGUACAAAGAAAGGUAAGUUAUGGUUGUGGACUUAUCUGUUAUCACCACAUUUGUACAAUCUGUAGGAGAACCUAUGGGAACGAAACGAAAGCGAUGCCGAGAAUCUGAAUUUACCAAGACUUAACACUAACUGGGGAUACCCUAAACAAGAAUGCCUAAAGGAGGAAAAAGGCUAUAGCACUAGAGCUUGAAAAUCUUGCAAGGGUACGGAGUACUCGUAGUAGUCUGAGAAGGGUAACGCCCUUUACAUGGCAAAGGGGUACAGUUAUUGUGUACUAAAAUUAAAAAUUGAUUAGGGAGGAAAACCUCAAACCAACAAUGGCAAUUUUAGACAAUAACAGAGCCGUAUACUCCGAGAGGGGUACGUACGGUUCCCGAAGAGGGUGGUGCAAACCAGUCACAGUAAUGUGAACAAGGCGGUACCUCCCUACUUCACCACAUCCAUAAC